rnacentral:rRNA from 1 species
CAGUAGCCACGGGAAUACGUAGGAGGCAAGCGUUGCCCGGAAUUAUUGGGCGUAAAGGGCUCGCAGGCGGUUUCUUAAGUCUGAUGUGAAAGCCCCCGGCUCAACCGGGGAGGGUCAUUGGAAACUGGGAAACUUGAGUGCAGAAGAGGAGAGUGGAAUUCCACGUGUAGCGGUGAAAUGCGUAGAGAUGUGGAGGAACACCAGUGGCGAAGGCGACUCUCUGGUCUGUAACUGACGCUGAGGAGCGAAAGCGUGGGGAGCGAACAGGAUUAGAUACCCGCGUAGUCCCUGUCUCUUAUAA